GCCGGGCGCGGUGGCUCACGCCUGUAAUCCCAACACUCUGGGAGGCCGAGGCGGGUGGAUCACCUGAGGUCAGGAAUUUGAGACCAGCCUGGCCAACAUGGUGAAACCCCGUCUCUA
rnacentral:SRP_RNA from 1 species